GUGAGAAAGGUAUUCAACCAGACAUUCUACUACUACGGCAGUGAGAAAGGUAUUCAACCAGACGUUCUACUACUAUGGUAGUGAGAAAGGUAUUCAACCAGACAUUCUACUACUACGGUAGUGAGAAAGGUAUUCAACCAGACAUUCUACUACUACGGUAGUGAGAAAGGUAUUCAACCAGACAUUCUACUACUACGGUAGUGAGAAAGGUAUUCAACCAGACAUUCUACUACUACGGUAGUGAGAAAGGUAUUCAACCAGACAUUCUACUACUACGGUAGUGAGAAAGGUAUUCAACCAGACAUUCUACUACUACGGUAGUGAGAAAGGUAUUCAACCAGACAUUCUACUACUACGGUAGUGAGAAAGGUAUUCAACCAGACAUUCUACUACUACGGUAGUGAGAAAGGUACUCAACCAGACAUUCUACUACUACGGUAGUGAGAAAGGUAUUCAACCAGACAUUCUACUACUACGGUAGUGAGAAAGGUAUUCAACCAGACAUUCUACUACUACGGUAGUGAGAAAGGUACUCAACCAGACAUUCUACUACUACGGUAGUGAGAAAUGUACUCAACCAGACAUUCUACUACUACGGUAGUGAGAAAGGUACUCAACAUUCAUGACUUCCCAGACCACUGUAGUUUGAGGUGUUUGGGAAUGUAUAUUUGAUCUUUUCAUAGUUUUAAAUUUUUAUUGAAUAUAUAUAAUUUCUAGCCAAGCAGUGAUGUUACUGUAGUAAUCAUGACUUGUUGUUGUAGUUGUUUCUCUCUCUCUCUCCU